AGCUUCUACAUAUUCUUUUAUGGUAGUCAGAUCUGAUUCUUUUCCCUUGGAGGAAGGAGCAAUAAUAUCAACUUGGUCGAUUGCAUGAAUACUUGUGUUAGCACAUAAAUAUAUCAUCCAAUUCAGAGAGUGGAACUUUCACUCCUAGUUCUUCCAUUGACGUGACGCCAUAAUCUUGCAGUCCACAAGGAAUAAUACCCUUAUAAUGAGAGAGGUCUGGAAAGACGUUAAGCGCUAUGCCAUGAUAAGUUACCCAUUUUCUUAAACGGAUACCAAAAGCUGCAAUUUUUUUUUCUACUCCAUUGUUAUUCACCCAAACACCUAUUCUAUCCUCUUUAAAUUCUCCAAGUAUAUUAAAUUGCUUUAAAACAUUUAUUAUCCACUUACUUAGGUCUCUAAUAUAUAGCUUUAUGUCGCAUUUAUUUCUUUUUUUAAGGUUUAACAUUAAAUAUAUGAUGCGCUGUCCUGGACCAUGAUAUGUGUAUUUGCCACCCCUGCCUGUUUUAUAUAUAGGAAAUAAUUUUUCAACAACGUCGUCAUCUGUUGCACUGAUUCCUGCAGUAUAAAGUGGAGGGUGCUGGAGUAGCCAUACUAAUUCGUCUGCUGAAUUAUUGUGAAUUUGUUGAAUUUUCUCUUCCAUAGAUUUUACGGCACAGUUAUAAUCAAUAAGCUGAUUAGAUAUUAGCCAUUCUGUCAUGUUCAAUUUCUUUUCUUUUUAGUAUAGCAGUGCGUUCUUUUCCUGUCAUCCCAGUGUGUGACACUGGGCGCAGCCUUUCUUAUUCCUAAUAUACUUAAUACUAACUUCUGUGCUAUUUCUCCUUAACAAACAUAGUACAUGACAAAUGUUUAAUUAUUUGUCAACACAGGUCCUCUUUACGUAUAGGCAACUUUUUUUAUUGAAAAAUUCAGAAAAAUGUUGUAUAAUUAUUAGUAGAUUUUAGAGUGUCUUGCUGGACUGGCUAAAAUAAGAAAUAAGUCCAUUAAAGAACUAGCAGAGAAGCUAAUACAAGAAGCAAUUCAAAAUGAGGAAGAUAAAAUACUAAUUGAGCGUGCUGCUAGACGUAAUGUUUCAGGUGUGAAGAAAAUUAGAAGUGAGGAUGUAGACUGGAAUACAAUAUUAUCUUCAUAGAAAGCGUUCUUGAGAAAGACCUUCCAGCUCUUCCAAAAACAAUAAGAUUAAGGAUCAUAAAUGCGAUAAAUAAGCGCCUUACAGUUGAUCCCAUUAACCUUGGUGAGCCAUUAUAUUACAGAUUUAAAGGACAAAGAAGAUUAAGGGUAGGUGAUUAUCGCGUUAUCUAUUCCGUAAAUAUUAUAAAAUAUGAAGUGGUUAUCACAGAGAUAGGACACAGAAAAGAUAUUUAUAAGUGGCUUCGCUCAGCUCAAAAAAAAAGCUCAUUCUUUUUGCUACCCCUUAUUGUGCCUGCCAUUUAACUACUGUGUAGAGAUUGCUCUCAAACAUAAUGUUCGUACGAGGCACAUAUGAAUUUCAACAUCUUUCAAAGAAAAAAAAGCGCAGUAUUUACUAAAUAUUCUGCUUUGCAGCUAAUGAUGGAGCCAAGUUGGAGUAAGCGUGAUUAUAUUAGGUAGACUGCGUACCGGAACUCCACCAAGGCUUGAUCGUGGCACUAUAAAUUGGUCAAUAUUGCAAGAACAAGUGGGUGAUAAUCCACCUGUGCCGUUUUCUUAUCUCACAGAAAAAAUUAACCAACCUCAGGUCAGCUUCUUCGUAUCUAAGUGACGUUGUUGCGCCAAGAUACUGCCCAUCCAUUGAAGUUAAAGUGAAAAAAUUCGCAGAAAAAAGUAGCCACCAAAUAUUUUUAGAACCAGAAGGCCUGGAUGAUGAUACUGUAUACCCGAACGGAAUUUCAAAUUCAUUGCCCAUUGAAGUGCAGCGUGAAAUGAUAAAGAGUAUCAAGGGACUUGAAAAUGCAGAAAUACUAAGACCUGGAUAUGCAGUUGAGUAUGACUAUAUUGACCCACGAGAGCUGUUUCAUACUCUUGAAACCAAGAAAGUCAAAGGCCUAUAUUUUGCUGGCCAAAUUAAUGGCACCACUGGAUAUGAAGAAGCAGCAGGGCAAGGAAUUAUCGCCGGAAUUAAUGCAGCACUCUCUGCAUUUGAAAAAAAAGAAAGCUUUGUUCUCCAUCGUACAGAUUCGUAUAUCGGUGUAAUGAUAGAUGAUCUAGUCACUAAAGGGGUGAUCGAACCUUAUAGAUUAUUUACCUCGCGUGCAGAAUAUAGGCUAGCUAUCAGGUCAGACAAUGCAGAUAGAAGAUUAACACAAAAAGGUUAUGAUAUUUCCCUUGUUUCGCAUGAGAGAUACUCUGUUUUACAGAAUAAACUUGAAUCCAUUAAGCAGCUUGAAGAGAAGUUAGGGAGUCUGACGAUUACUCCUGAGCAGCUUAGGUCUUAUGGUAUCAAAAUAUCUUAUGAUGGGAUAAGAAAAACGGCACUAGAUUUACUUAGCUAUCCAAACAUCGACUGGAAUAAAUUACAAGAAAUAUGGCCGGAGUUAAGCAGCGUCACGCGCUGGAAUGACAAAAUGGGACACACCAAAGCGGAUAAUAGAGCUAAGAAUGAAAUAUGCGAAGCGGUUGAAAUUGAAGCAAAAUACAAACCUUAUCUAAUAAGACAAGAAGCGGAUAUGAAGUUUUUACGAGAGGAAAUUAACACUCAAAUUCCAAUUGAUUUCAACUAUUCACAAGUUAAAGGCCUGUCAAGUGAAGUAAUAGAAAAGUUGCAGACGAUAAAACCAGCGACGAUUGGCAUUGCAAAGCAAAUACAAGGCAUCACUCCCGCAGCGAUAGUGAGCAUAUUAGUGUAUUUGAGAAACAGGAAAACGAAAGUGGCUGCUAAUUUUGUAUGAGGUGUUCUAUGUCAAAAAUCGAAGAAUUUCGUUCUUUUAUGCACGAGAUAAACGUUGAUGCAUUUAUGUUGCAUACUAAAGAUGAAUAUUUAAAUGAGUAUUCAGAGGAGCUAACAAAGCUGUGUGGCUUUACAGGAACAAAUGGGCUACUUAUCGUUACAAAAGACAACAAGUGCCCAUUUUUUACGGAUGGACGCUAUAUCACACAAGCUCGCAAUCAGCUCGAUCGGGGCAAUUUUCAAGUAUAUAAUAUACAAGAAGAGGAUCCACGCGAAUGGAUAAAAGCAAACUUAACAUCGACUGCCUCACUAGGUUAUUAUUUGCAAUAUUUUACCAUAGAAGAUAUAAGAAAGUAUGAGAAUAUCUGUAAAUUAAUACCCUGUUUAGCUGGAAAAAAAAGUGACUAUCGAAAACAAGCAGUGGUUUUACAUUCUAUUGAACAUGCUGGUGAAAGUAGUAAGGACAAAUGUGAAAAAGUCGCUAAAAGUAUAGAUAAAGAAGCUGAAGCAGUGCUUUUAACUGAUCCAAAUUCAAUUUCAUGGUUAUUAAAUUUAAGAAACGAAAAUGCUAAAUAUACUCCAUGUAUAUUGGGUCGUGCUAUAUUGUAUAAAAGCGGUAAUGUUGAUUUGUUUAUUCAAGAUAAAGAACAUUCAACUAUAGAAGCAAAUUUAGGCAAUCAUAUAAAUAUUUUUGAUAUUAGUGAGCUAGAAAAUUCGCUGCACAAGCUAAAUUCAAUAGUCAUGGAUCCAAGCACAACUCCAAUGAGUAUCAUGGCUGUAAUAAAAGAUAAACAGGUAGCUGAGAGAGAAGAUCCUUGUCUAAUUUAUAAAGCAGCAAAAAACCAAACUGAAAUAGCUGGGGCUAUAAAUGCGCAUAUCAGAGAUGGAGUGGCAGUUACAAAUUUUCUAUAUUGGCUUGAAAAUAAUGUUGGUACAGAACUUGAAGCUGAAGAAAAGAUUUUAGAAUACAGAAAAGAGCAGAAUUUGUUUAAGCAACUAAGUUUUCCAACAAUUUCAGCAUUUAAUGAGAAUGGAGCAAUAAUUCACUAUCGUGCAAGCAGUAAGACGAAUAAAGUAAUUCAGAAAGAUGGACUGUAUUUGAUUGACUCUGGUGGCCAGUACCUUGACGGCACAACUGAUGUGACAAAAACUGUAGCAAUUGGCAAUCCAACUGAUGAACAAAUAACCCACUAUACAAUAGUACUCAAAGCUCACAUUGCUAUAGCAAGUGUCAUCUUUCCUCCUGGCACUACUGGUGGAGAAUUGGAUAUAUUAGCACGUACGCAUUUAUGGAAAUUUGGAAUGGACUAUAUGCAUGGUACAGGGCAUGGAGUAGGAAGUUACCUAUCAGUACACGAAGGACCACAAGCAAUAUCAAAGGGAAAUAAAGUGAAACUCACGCCAGGCAUGAUACUAUCCAACGAACCUGGCUAUUACAUUCCGGGAGAGUAUGGAAUAAGGAUUGAAAAUCUGAUGUAUGUUGAUAAACAUAAAAAUGGUUUCUUGGGAUUUAAACAACUAACCUCUAUUCCAUAUGAUAGAAGGCUAAUAAGUGUGCAAAUGCUUACUAAGGAUGAAAUUGAAUGGAUAAAUGGCUACCAUCAAUUUGUCUAUAAAAACUUAGAAAAUAGCGUCAAAGAUAAGGAGUGGUUAAAGAAAGUAUGUGACCCUUUAUAAGCAAAGGAGCAUUUUUUAUUAUUUAAAAAGUAUUAAUGCAAUUGUGACAGGUAGGUUAUAAUUAUGAUAGACAAAGGGCAAGGAGAUGAAUUUAUGAAGCAGUAUAUGGAUACUUGCAAAGAGCAAAUAGAAAAAUUAGCCAAGGAUCCUGAAUUGCUUAAUCAGGCUUUAAAACCAUUUAUGCAAAUGUCUCAGCAGCUUAUGGCUGGCGGUAUGUUAGAAGGGGCUAUGCCUGGCAUGAUACCUGAUUUGGGCAGUAUGGAUGUUAACAAGAUGAUUGCUCAGAUGAAGGAAAUGAUUGACUACAUAAGAGGUAACUAUAAGGAACUAAUGAAAGAGCGCAGCUCGCAGAUUCAAGAGCUUAAUGAAUCCAGUAAAAAGCUAAGAGGCUUAGUUAAAAAAUUGAUAGAAAAGAUCGAAAGUAAAUAAAUAACAUCUGGAUUUCUGUCAUUCUAUAUACAACUUUCUAGUUGGACGGUAAGUCGAGGUCAAUUAUUGAUGUCAUGAAAGUAGCUGACACUGGUUCCUUUAUGACGGCAGUGCCCAGAGGUGUCAUCCCAGUGCUUGACACUGGGAUCCAGUUCUUAUUACCUGGUGUAAAGUUAAGUUUCCUGGAUUCCAGUGUCAAGCACUGGAAUGACAGCAAUCCUACGUCAUACCGCGAUUCAUUCGCGGUAUCUUAGUAUAGAUUCCGCUAACAAGUAGCGGAAUGACGGUUUUUCAAAUCGUCGAUGAACCUAAGUCACUUUAGCUAUAGUAUCGGGAACGUAAUUGCACAUUGGUUUUACAAAUUUGAAAAUUAGUGUUAGAUAAAAAUAUAAACGCAAAAGGAAAAAAAAUGAUUGAACUUAGAGGUCCAGAAAUUUGUGCAGGCGGAAAUAAGAAAAAUUUGAUUGUUUUUUUACAUGGUUGGGGCUCAAGUGGCGAUAAUUUCAUUCACCUUGCUAAAGUUAUGAGCAAGUUUUUACUGGGUUCAUAUUUUGCAGUACCCAAUGCUCCGUUUGAAAGAGAAAUAGGUGAUGGUUAUCAGUGGUUCAGCUUGGAAGAUCGUAGUGAGGAAGCGCUAUAUAAUGGAGUAAAAAAUGCUACAUCAAUUGUAAAUCAUUUCAUUGAUACAAAAUUAAAGGAGCUUAAUUUAAAAGAUACGCAACUUUCUUUAGUUGGAUUUUCUCAAGGAGCAAUGCUUGCAAUACAUACAGCUCUCACCCGCUCUCAAUCCUGUGCAUCAGUUGUUGCAUACUCUGGUAGAUUUCUUUCACCUUCAAAAACUGCACCAGAGAUCAAGUCAAAACCUAACAUAUGUGUUAUCCAUGGUGAUGCUGACGACGUGGUACCUUUUUCGUCCCUCGACUUAGCGGUUAAAGCUCUGAAAGAAAAUGGAGUAAAUGUUGAAGGACACCCAAUUCAUGCAUUAGGGCAUAUUAUUAAUGAAGAGGGAAUAAAAUUAGGAGUAGAAUUUAUCAAGAAGAAUUUUAAAAAUUAAUUUUCAUGCACUUGUUUUGCUUUGGUUAUGGAUAUGUAGCUAAAUUUUUAUCGAAAAAAUUACUGAACUUAGGUUGGAAAGUCAGUGGCACAUCAAGAAGUAAAAAUAUACAAGAUGUAAUCCUCUUUAAUUAUGAGAAAGUUAGUCAAGAUCUGCUUAAAAGCGCAACGCACGUUUUAAUUUCUAUUCCUCCAGAUGGCGAUGAUGUUGUGGAGAGAUACGGUGAUUGUCUGCAAAAUGUAAAAUGGCUUGGUUAUUUGUCUGCAACUAGCGUCUAUGGUGAUCACUCUGGUAAUUGGGUGGAUGAGGAAUCUGAAACAAGACCUAUAGAAAUCAGAGGAGAAAAGCGCCUUAAAUCUGAAAAGAAGUGGCUAAAUAGCAAACUGCCUGUACAUAUUUUUCGUUUAGCUGGAAUAUACGGUCCUGGUAGGAACGUGUUAAUUGACUUGCAGCUUGGCAAAGCAAGAAAUGUGAAAAAAGAAGGGCAUUUUUUUUCUCGUAUUCACGUUGAAGAUAUAUCGAAUAUUUUAUUUUCUUCCAUGCAAAACAUAAAACCUGGUGAAAUAUACAAUUGUGCAGACGAUUUACCCACUACACAAUCUGAAGUGGUAAUAUAUGCGACCAAACUUCUCAAUGUUAGCCCUCCAGAACCAAUUGAGUUACCAGAUUAUGCACAGAGUUUUUAUUUAGGAUCAAAGAGAGUAAGUAAUGUUAAAAUUAAAAAAGAUCUUAAUGUCUCUCUAAUUUAUCCUAACUACAAGGUGGGAUUAGAGAGUUUGCACGUAAACAAAACUGAAAUCACAUCAGAAUGAUAGAUAGGCUUAUUGUCACUGCCAUUAAGUUAAGGAAAGAAUGGUUAAAAACUGAACUAAAAAGUCAGAAAUAAGUAUCCGUUCAGCGGAGUGGCAGAAUAAGGUAGACAAGGUGAUCUAAAAAGAUAAUCAUAGAGCAAAAGUGAAA